GCAAGUCUGGUGCCAGCAGCCGCGGUAAUUCCAGCUCCAAUAGCGUAUAUUAAAGUUGUUGUGGUUAAAAAGCUCGUAGUAGAAGCUCGGGCUCCGGCCGACCGGUCCGCCUCACCGCGUGCACUGGUUCGGCCGGGCCUUCACCUUCUGCGGAACCGCAUCUCCUUCACUGGGGGUGUCGGGGAAACAGGACGUUUACUGUGAAAAAAUUAGAGUGCUCCAGGCAGGCCUAUGCUCGAAUAGAUUAGCAUGGAAUAAUGGAAUAGGACGUGUGGUCUUAUUUCGUUGGCUUCUAGGACCGCCGUAAUGAUUAAUAGGGACAGUCGGGGGCAUCAGUAUUCAAUCGUCAGAGGUGAAAUUCUUGGAUCGAUUGAAGACUAACUACUGCGAAAGCAUUUGCCAA
rnacentral:rRNA from 1 species